GCCUGGGUGGCUCAGUCGGUUAAGUGUCUGACUUCGGCUCAGGUCAUGAUCUCACAGCUCGUGAGUUCGAGCCCCACGUCGGGCU
rnacentral:tRNA from 1 species